rnacentral:rRNA from 1 species
AUUGAACGCUGGCGGCAUGCUCUACACAUGCAAGUCGAACGGUAACAGGCCGCAAGGUGCUGACGAGUGGCGAACGGGUGAGUAAUGCAUCGGAACGUGCCCAGUCGUGGGGGAUAACUACUCGAAAGAGUAGCUAAUACCGCAUACGAUCUAUUGAUGACAGCGGGGGACCGUAAGGCCUCGCGCGAUUGGAGCGGCCGAUGUCAGAUUAGGUAGUUGGUGGGGUAAAGGCUCACCAAGCCAACGAUCUGUAGCUGGUCUGAGAGGACGACCAGCCACACUGGGACUGAGACACGGCCCAGACUCCUACGGGAGGCAGCAGUGGGGAAUUUUGGACAAAGGGCGCAAGCCUGAUCCAGCAAUGCCGCGUGCAGGAAGAAGGCCUUCGGGUUGUAAACUGCUUUUGUACGGAACGAAACGGCUCUGGUUAAUACCCGGGGCUAAUGACGGUACCGUAAGAAUAAGCACCGGCUAACUACGUG